rnacentral:misc_RNA from 1 species
UUUACAACAAAAUUAUUAAUAAUUGUCAAAAUAUAAAAACUGAAAUUCAACUAAGAAAUAUAAUAUUCAAGACAAGAAAGUCGAAGGAAUAGACAAUCUCAUGGUAACAAAACAAUUAUAACUUCCAUUGGAUGACAAAAUAAUACAAACCGACUCCCAACUUGAUUAGUGAAAAAUCAAUAAAUAAACAAACAGCGAGAUGGUGGACAACACUACAGUUCUGAAAAUGGCAGGAACCAAGAAAACCCAAUAUGGUGACCAAAGUAACAUGUUUCUUCACCUAAGGAUUUGGCAACGUCCCGCGCCGACACGCUUGGAGGUCCAAACAAAACUGGCUGCACUAUUUUUGCCCCUAUGUUUCCAGACACAAAGCCGCUCCGUCAACGCCACACAAACCUAGUGCUAAAAUACGCGCGCCUAUCUACGUCAUCAUCUCUGUCCUUUUACUUUUUUCCCUCCCUGCUCAGAAAUACAGAUCACAUCGAGCGAGGAAAACUUGCUUUCUUCUUCUUUUAUAAAAGUCUUUUCUGGAUCUAGCACGACCGCUGGCUAAAGAGAUGUCCCUUAUUCCUCUUGCUACUUCCAAUCAAUAACAUUACGGCCACCCAUUUACAGAUGCGUUUCUUUCCUCCUACCUGUCCUUAAAAAUCAUCUAUUCAAAUCAUACAUUCAACUUUGGAAUGGGGACACCUAUUGAAAUUAUCGUUCCCCGUGACCUCUGUAGGCAUAGCCAAUCCUUUAAUCAAAAGAAUAGAUUGAAGAUCAAGAAACUUUUUCGCCUGAAACAUUUACAUUGCCAACUAGGAUUUCUAUUAAGUGCCACCUUCCCAAGGCUUUUGUCACAAUGAAGUUUCCAUCCCAAUCUUAUGAUUGAGGGGCCUUACCUUUUUUUAAUUAUUUUUUUUUUCUGUUAGUGGAGAAGGAGACUCGGUACUUACAAAAUCAAAAUUAAAGUGCCUUGUGCCCUAUUGCUAUCUAUGGCAUAUUGCUACCGGAAAAAAAAAAUUAUAUGCAACCACAGAUAACAUCCCAAUAAAAUUGUGGUCUUUGUCAUGACAUGGUGCCAUACAGAUCAAGAAACCAGAUAAGCCCCAAUGAUUUAAUAGUGAUGACAAUUGACAAACUAUCUCCUUUCAAUGUGCAAUAAGAAUGCGUGUGAGAGGAAUCUUAGCUCUCGCUGGGAAUCCACUCUGAUAGUUAACUCUCAAGUUAAUGAAUGAUGAAUAAUAGAAGAUCUUAGAGCUUAGAGAGUACCUUGGGAGAUUCUGCGUAUAAAUAGGCUUGAGAUAUAGGAUUCUAUUGACCCAUCUUUCCUCAAGUCUGUCCUUAGUUGGAAAACUCUAUCCAGUGUAGUUAUCCCCAAAAAUAGGAUGGCAUGUUUCUAUACAAAUAGCUAGUUUGUCUUUGGCUACUCAUCUGUUCAGCUGCUCAGCCAUUUGGCUACACUGUCAUCAACUAGUGCAUCUAGGCCAAUGAUUUCAUGCUGAAGACAUAUACAGAAGAAUCUGAGGGUCCCUUUUUUCUGCACAAAGAAAUUGCUUUCAUGCUGAUUCUGAAAACCAUAUACAUAAAACUAUUAUCAACGGCACUGUCAAAGUCUGUUUCGCUUCUUAUCACUUUGCAGCUUUAUUUACCAACCCACAAGUAGAGUUUAAUAUGGCUCCAAGUUUCUACUCACUUUGUAAAGACAAACGAGGAAAUAUUUUGAUACAGUUUGGUUGAAAGCAUUACUCAGUGGGUUAUAACAAAUUCCUACCAGAACAAAAACAUUAAGCAAUGUGAUUCAAAAUAACUAUGGGGAGAUGCCAUACCAAAAUUGCAUUCCACAGGAAAUAAAAUCGUCAGGAGCUAUCCAUUGGAUUGUAAACCUUUGCCACCAUAAUACUGCUUGGUAGUUUCACGUGAGAAUUCUGCAAAUGUCAUUCCAUCCUUCAACCGCGAUGAGAGUGGUGGAACAAUUUUAUGAAUAUCUUGAGUAAAUUCAUUUAAGCCAUGCUUGAUGCCAUUUCCCUCAGAUAAGUUACCAACUGACACACCAUGUUCCACAGUGUAAUCUGUGAUUGAGAAGGUUUUGCUCCAUGCAGGCUGCAGAAACACAACAAAAGUUUCUCUGCUUAAAUUUUCAAACUUCAAUGGUCUGCGCACACAGUGUAGGGUUGAACGAAGCUUUCCUUUUGAUAAAAUAUCAGCUGAUUCCCCAACCUGAAUGAUGAAACUUUCAGGAGAAGUCUUUACCAUGAGGACAUUAUUAUUGUUCGGAUCAAAGAUUUGCAAAUAUGAAUAGCCAUUGGGAUAAGGGCAUUCUUGAUCAGAUGAUAGUGAAGAUUGAUCUGUGACCAUAUUUUCUGAUAAAUAUGAGGGCAGAAGAAACAUUGGUGCUGUCAAAAUAGUAAAGAUACCAUAAUCAUAAUGCCAUUGCUGCCAUAAAUCCAUAUCAUUUCCUCGUGAUCCAACCUUAAUGCCAUUUGUAACAAAGUUUGAACCUUGUAAUUGUUUUUGCUCACUUCUUAAACAGUGUUCUUGGUUCUUUUUGGAAUUGGCCUGCUUUUUGGUGGGUCCCUUCCUUCUCCCAGUUUCUCUCAUUAAAAGUUUAUCUAGAAUUGAAUGAUAAUGUAUAAGGCGCCCUUUCGCAGUGCCAGAUUCUAAUAAGCUUCGUUCUAACUCUUGGCCACCAAUGAACUCAUCACACAUUUGGGCAAGACGGAGCCCCAGCUCCAUCAUAAAAUAUCCUAAAUCUUUAAAGAAAUCUCCAAGAUUUUUAAAUUCAUCUUCAUGAAAUUUUCUCACCUCAUCAACAUCCAGAUGAGUUGGUUCUAAAUUCAAGCGUACGUCAUGACUUGGCUUAAUGGGAGCAGAUUUCAGAGCUUCCACAUAUUUGAGUUGCAUUGCAAAAGAAGACACAUUCCUAUCAGGAUUCUUAAGAGGAACAUCACUCCCCAAGUUGUGUUCCUUGAGAAGGCGUUUGCGGCACUCGUGGUCGAGAAGAGCAAGCUUGCGAGCAAGAGGGAGGAGGUUGCGGCGAAGAAGAAGAGCGUUAGGGACGCCAACGAUGGAAAGGAGACCUGGGCCUUUAGGGCCUAGGGUUUCAAUGAUAGUUGUCCUUAUGGUUUGCAGUCUUGCUAGUUCUUCUUCCGGUGACGAUAAAGAAACGCUAUGAUUCGAAGCUGAACAUGAGGAGAGUAGCAUCAAAUCAGCGUAAUGAACUUCGUACAGCUCCAACACCUGCAUUUGCUCCAUCUGUGAUUUCUG